rnacentral:lncRNA from 1 species
UUCAAAUUUACGCUGGAUUUCAUCUCUAUGUGCCGUGAGAGCUUGAAUCUCUUCCUCUGCCUCAGCUGUGGUCUCCUCUAGUUCAGUUUUGGCCUCACGGAGCUGAUUCUCCAGGGCUGUCCGUGCAGCCUGCAGCCCAGUAAUUUGAGAUUCCCGCUCCUGGAGUGUCAGCUGCAAUUCUGUCAACUGUCUUUUGAGUUCCAG